GACGAACGCUGGCGGCGUGGAUUAGGCAUGCAAGUCGAACGGUAUCAUCCUUUCGGGGGUGAGAGAGUGGCGAACUGGUGAGUGACACGUAGGUUAUCUACCCUCAAGACGGGGACAACCCAGGGAAACUUGGGCUAAUACCGGAUGUGAGCAACUUUUAGUUGUUUGAAAGGUGGCGUAAGCUGUCGCUUGGGGAUGAGCCUGCGUCCUAUUAGUUAGUUGGUGAGGUAACGGCUCACCUAGGCAAUGAUAGGUAGGCGGCCUUAACGGGUGGUCGCCCACACUGGGAUUGAGAUACGGCCCAGACUCCUACGGGAGGCAGCAGUCGAGAAUAGUCUACAAUGGUCGGAAGACUGAUAGUGCGACGCCGCGUGAACGAUGAAUCCCUUCGGGGUUAAAGUUCUUUUAUAUGUGAGCAGUGCUUCUUAUAUUAACAGUAUGGGGAGAGAGAUAUUAGCAUAUGAAUAAGCAACGGCUAACUCCGUGCCAGCAGCCGCGGUAA
rnacentral:rRNA from 1 species